AUUGAACGCUGGCGGCAUGAUUUACACAUGCAAGUCGAACGGUAACAGGCCGCAAGGUGCUGACGAGUGGCGAACGGGUGAGUAAUGCAUCGGAACGUGCCCAGUCGUGGGGGAUAACUACUCGAAAGAGUAGCUAAUACCGCAUACGAUCUAUGGAUGAAAGCGGGGGACCGUAAGGCCUCGCGCGAUUGGAGCGGCCGAUGUCAGAUUAGGUAGUUGGUGGGGUAAAGGCUCACCAAGCCAACGAUCUGUAGCUGGUCUGAGAGGACGACCAGCCACACUGGGACUGGGACACGGCCCAGACUCCUACGGGAGGCAGCAGUGGGGAAUUUUGGACAAUGGGCGCAAGCCUGAUCCAGCAAUGCCGCGUGCAGGAAGAAGGCCUUCGGGUUGUAAACUGCUUUUGUACGGAACGAAACGGCUCUGGUUAAUACCCGGGGCUAAUGACGGUACCGUAAGAAUAAGCACCGGCUAACUACGUG
rnacentral:rRNA from 1 species